UACAGAGGGGGCAAGCGUUGUUCGGAAUUAUUGGGCGUAAAGGGCGCGUAGGCGGCUUGAUAAGUCAAAGGUGAAAUCCCUCGGCUCAACUGAGGAACUGCCUUUGAAACUGUCAGACUUGAGGCCGGGAGGGGGUAGCGGAAUUCCCAGUGUAGCGGUGAAAUGCGUAGAUAUUGGGAGGAACACCGGUGGCGAAGGCGGCUACCUGGACCGGUUCUGACGCUGAUGCGCGAAAGCGUGGGUAGCAAACAGG
rnacentral:rRNA from 1 species